rnacentral:rRNA from 1 species
AGUGAACGCUGGCGGUAGGCCUAACACAUGCAAGUCGAACGGCAGCACAGUAAGAGCUUGCUCUUACGGGUGGCGAGUGGCGGACGGGUGAGGAAUACAUCGGAAUCUACUUUUUCGUGGGGGAUAACGUAGGGAAACUUACGCUAAUACCGCAUACGACCUACGGGUGAAAGCAGGGGAUCUUCGGACCUUGCGCGAUUGAAUGAGCCGAUGUCGGAUUAGCUAGUUGGCGGGGUAAAGGCCCACCAAGGCGACGAUCCGUAGCUGGUCUGAGAGGAUGAUCAGCCACACUGGAACUGAGACACGGUCCAGACUCCUACGGGAGGCAGCAGUGGGGAAUAUUGGACAAUGGGCGAAAGCCUGAUCCAGCCAUACCGCGUGGGUGAAGAAGGCCUUCGGGUUGUAAAGCCCUUUUGUUGGGAAAGAAAAGCAGCAGGUUAAUACCCCGCUGUUCUGACGGGACCCAAAGAAUAAGCACCGGCUAACUUCG